UAAAGUAAGAAAGAGCGUAUGGCGGAUGCCUAGGCACAGAGAGGCGAAGAAGGACGCAGCAAACAGCGAAAUGCGACGGUUAGCAGUAAGCAUGCAACGAUCCGUCGAUGUCCGAAUGGGGGAACCCACCUGGAGUAGAGACCAGGUAUCCUGAAGUGAAUAAAUAGCUUCAGAGAGGCGAGACUCAGGGAACUGAAACAUCUAAGUACCUGAAGGAAGAGAAAAUAAACGAAUGAUUCCCUAAGUAGCGGCGAGCGAAAGGGGAAGAGCCCAAACCGAUCUUAGGAUCGGGGUUGUAGGACUGUCGGCAAAGAGCAAGAAAUCAUUAUAGGCGAACGGAAUGGGAAGUCCGGCGAAACAGGGUGACAGCCCCGUAGCCGAAAUAGUGAAGAAGCACGAGACAGCACCUGAGUACGGCGGGACACGAGGAAUCCUGUCGGAAUCCACCAGGACCAUCUGGUAAGGCUAAAUACUCCUCUGUGACCGAUAGUGAACCAGUACCGUGAGGGAAAGGUGAAAAGAACCCCGGGAGGGGAGUGAAAUAGAACCUGAAACCAUAUGCUUACAAGAAGUUAGAGCCCGUUAAAGGGUGAUAGCGUGCCUUUUGUAGAAUGAACCGGCGAGUUACGAUAUGGAGCGAGGUUAAGCAGGAUAUGCGGAGCCGAAGCGAAAGCGAGUCUUAACAGGGCGAAAGUUGCAUGUCGUAGACCCGAAACCGAGUGAUCUAGCCAUGACCAGGUUGAAGUUGGGGUAAAACCCGAUGGAGGACCGAACCGACCCCCGUUGAAACGUUGGCGGAUGAGUUGUGGCUAGGGGUGAAAUUCCAAUCGAACUCGGAGAUAGCUGGUUCUCCCCGAAAUAGCUUUAGGGCUAGCGUCGAGGUAAAGUCGUGUGAAGGUAGAGCACUGAAUAUGUGAUGGCCCCAUCUCGGGGUACUGAACAUAAUCAAACUCCGAAUGUCACAAAGAUAUACUCGGCAGUCAGACAGUGGGUGAUAAGGUCCAUUGUCAAAAGGGAAACAGCCCAGACCAUCAGCUAAGGUCCCAAAAUAUAUACUAAGUGGAAAAGGAUGUGGAGAUGUCCAGACAACUAGGAGGUUGGCUCAGAAGCAGCCAUCCUUUAAAGAGUGCGUAACAGCUCACUAGUCGAAUGACUCUGCGCCGAUAAUUUACCGGGGCUAAGUAUAUUACCGAAGCUAUGGAUUUACGCGUAAGCGUGAGUGGUAGGGGAGCGUUCUAUGUGCGGAGAAGCGGUACCGUAAGGAGCCGUGGAGCGCAUAGAAGAGAGAAUGCCGGUGUGAGUAGCGAAACGUGGGUGAGAAUCCCACGCACCGAAAACCCAAGGUUUCCAGAGGAAGGUUCGUCCGCUCUGGGUAAGUCGGGACCUAAGGCGAGGCCGAGAGGCGUAGUCGAUGGACAACAGGUAGAGAUUCCUGUACUUACGGUAUGAAUGAUGGAGUGACGGAGAAGGCUAGCGGAUCCUGCUGAUGGAAAUGCAGGUGCAAGCGAGGUAGCCGACAGCCAGGCAAAUCCGGCUGUCGAAAGGCAAAGGCGUGAGGCGUAUGGAAAGCUGCGGCAAGUACAGAAGUCCGUGAAGCCAGCUUCCAAGAAAAGCUUCUAGUGAUAAUCAUACAGUAACCCGUACCGAAAAUGGACACACAUGGGUGAGGAGAGAAUCCUAAGGUGAGCGAGAGAACUAUAGCUAAGGAACUCUGCAAAAUGACUCCGUAACUUAGGGAUAAGGAGUGCUCAUAGAGAUAUGAGCCGCAGUGAAACGGCCCAAGCGACUGUUUACCAAAAACACAGCUCUAUGCUAAGUCGAAAGACGACGUAUAUGGGGUGACGCCUGCCCGGUGCUGGAAGGUUAAGAGGAUGUGUCAGCGCAAGCGAAGCACUGAAUUGAAGCCCCAGUAAACGGCGGCCGUAACUAUAACGGUCCUAAGGUAGCGAAAUUCCUUGUCAGGUAAGUUCUGACCCG
rnacentral:rRNA from 1 species